rnacentral:rRNA from 1 species
UACGAAGGGUGCAAGCGUUACUCGGAAUUACUGGGCGUAAAGCGUGCGUAGGCGGUUUGUUAAGUCUGUCGUGAAAGCCCCGGGCUCAACCUGGGAAUGGCGAUGGAUACUGGCGAGCUAGAGUACGGUAGAGGAGAGUGGAAUUCCCGGUGUAGCAGUGAAAUGCGUAGAGAUCGGGAGGAACAUCAGUUGCGAAGGCGGCUCUCUGGACCAGUACUGACGCUGAGACACGAAAGCUAGGGGAGCAAACAGG